UACAGAGGGUGCGAGCGUUAUCGGAAUUACUGGGCGUAAAGGGCGCGUAGGUGGUUGUGUAAGUGAGAUGUGAAAUCCCCGGGCUUAACCUGGGAACUGCAUCUUAUACUGCAUAGCUUGAGUACAUGAGAGGGUAGUGGAAUUUCCGGUGUAGCGGUGAAAUGCGUAGAGAUCGGAAGGAACACCAGUUGCGAAGGCGGCUACCUGGACUGAUACUGACACUGAGGCGCGAAAGCGUGGGGAGCAAACAGG
rnacentral:rRNA from 1 species